ensembl:lncRNA
CCCCUGCCUGACCCCUCUUGUUAUCUAGAACAAACGCUGGGCUCUUUACCCGAGACAAAGACAAGUACACAGUCCUCUCUAAGAAAUGCUAGGAGAAUUUGGGACAUGGGCAGGGCACACAAUGCUGAGCUUUCUUACUCAGCCCAACUUGCUAUACCCUGGGAAAAUAUCGUCAAUGCAGUGUGAGGCUAGUUGGGGUUUGCUUUUGUUGUUACUUCCUCCACUCAGAAAAUAAAGGCAGAAAACAGCAGCCAAACAAACCUGUUUUUUUUACCUAGGUUAAGGGGUGAGGGAAUAUCAAAAGCAGCAGCCAAACAAACCUGUUUUUUUACCUAGGUUAAAGGGUUAGUGAACAUCCAGGGGUUGAUCUUAAGUCUAAAUGGCUAGGGGUUCCUCCUGUCCCUUAUAUCCGGGCCUCUCAAAAAAUCAAAGGAAUUUGCAGACGGGCCAUGUUUGUCUGGCCUGGUUCUGUUGCUAAGGAAAGAUUCUUAGUCCCUCUGACUCUCUUGAUCUCUCACCCACAUACGAUCACUAGUUAGGAAAUACCCAUUGCAUUGAUCCAGUUUUGGUUCAUUUUGUUUAGCCAAAUCAUUAGAGACCUGAUACCAAUUACUCACUGUUGCAACACAGGCCUUAAAUGUGUGUAUGUGCGUGAGCACCUCCUGGAGAGGAAAUGAAGCAGGAUGCUGGCCCGUUUCCAGAGGAGGAAGACAGGAUCUUAGCUGGCCACAGACAGUUUUGAGGGUGGAGUGAGACCGUUUUUGAGAGGGAUUGCUGUUAGCAAUGGGAAGAGGAGAAAGCUGCCCUGUUUCGCUCUUUCCCAUUUGCAUGCUGAUGCCAUGCUGUAUCAUUACCCAGAAAAAGCAGGUGUACCUAUUGACAUGUUAAUUGGGACGGUUUUGGUGUGCGUGUGUGCUGUGAUUAUGCAAGUCUUAAAGACAACGUCGCAAAUCCACAAUUGUGAGGCUAAGGACAAAAUGACAAAUGACAAAAUAAUAAUAAUAAUGAAUCAUAUUUUUGAUUCAUUGGGUAUUAUUUAACUUCCCUUAAUAUUGUUAUUGGUUGACCUCGUUCAUGAUAUAUUUAAGCCCUUUAGAUUUGUCUGAAAGGUUGCUCAUAGUGUCUUUGAGUAUUGGUAAUGACCAGGAGUGUGUCUGUGGUGGAGGGGAGGGUUCUAGAAUUUUGUAUUUCUAUUUGCAUAUUUGAAAAAAACAUCUUGAUCCCAGCUUCUACCUCCUGCAUUUGUGUCGUGCUUGUCUUCUUGCACAAUGAGGUUAAAAAACAAGCUAGUGUGUGACGCCCGUCCCUCUGCCCGAUUCCUAUUGGCCUGGUCAUGCUGGAGCGGGUCCAAUGGGGCGCGUCCGUUCCUCGGCACUGCCUCAGCGUUCAGGGAGCCGUGUUGCAGGGUGCUCUGCGGGCUUAUUCUUUAUGUGCCGAACAGCAAGGCUUCUUGGGAGAAUAGUGUAGAAGGAGGAGGCUGGGAAAAAAAAAAGGCUGGGGCAGAGAGGGACAGGCGGGCUACGUAAUAAGCUCCUCUCUGCCUUAGUCUUUUUCUCAUACUUCCAUGUUCUCUCCUUGGUCUCAUGGUGUAGUGGGAGCUACGCUCUACCUUUUGCUUAGAAAAAGAAUUAUCCAAAUAAAAUGGCUCUUUCUUUACCUUGUUCUAAACAUAUGGAAGCCAUUUUAGGUUUAGCCUCUCGCUCUCCGUUCACCUCAUACAUAAACAAGCACAUUGCCAGAAUGCACCAAGGGUCAGGUAGAACCAAGUCAGAAAUGCUAUUGGCAUAAUACUCAGCGUGUUUGCUCAAAGGGUGUUGUCAGUUGGAGGAAAAGAGUGAGUAGUUGAGGGAGAGAAAAGGAAGGGGAGCAAAUGAGGAAUAGUGGUGAAAAGAACCACUCAGCCAUUUUGUCCUGCUCAACACCUAUCCCUUUCACAUCUCCAUGUUAAGUUUUUGGGUUGUUUUUUUUUAACAUGAAACUAAAAUGUUGUCCAAGAUAACUUUUAGCCAUAUUGUGACAAAGGCAGUGUACAUUAUUUAUUAGAUAUUAAAAAAAAAGGCAGUAUUCAGAAAAUCCCCAUCCUGAACUUAUUUGCAUUGUAUUAUAGGUCAUGGUGAGGUCUCUUGAAAUGAAAAUGAGAGAUUCUAAUGUCUAAAAUGUAUUAAAUAUUUGUAGGUAAUAUUUCUUACACCUCAAAUGAUGCAUUCUUUAAUUACCUUUUAGCUAGUAAAUCUAUAUGGCUAACAUAUCAAAACAAUUUCUUGGCCUGUAGACUUUUUCACAUACAGGAGCGAAUUCAAGAAGUAAACUUAGGACCCUGCUGCAGUAAGUUAAUGAUAUAAAAAUUCAAAAUGGUCACCGUGUGUGUGCAGUUUAAAGGAUUGGGUGUGACUGAUCAAACACUAGCACUAGAAAACGGCAUACAUCUCUAGCUUGAAUUUGGAGGCAGGGCUGGGCCUUAUGUCUCUAGCUGUGUUUCGAAAUCGUUCCCUGUUCACUCAAUCACUAUUCCCUAUGUAGUAUUCAUGAUAUAGUGCACUAUAUAGGAAAAGAACAAACCAGAAUUCGGACACUACGCUGAACAUUUCUAAACGUAAUUUCCGUCAGUAAUCGCGCCAGCAAUUUGUGUGACGUAAACAGAUGCGCCCACAUCAUGUAAACAAACCGGGCACUCACGAGGAAAGCUGAAGGUUGUAUUGAUGUUGAAUGUUGCAUUUCCUUGAUCACGGUUUUUUUUCUAUUCAUUUUGAAUGCUUAAUGUUAUAUCCCGAAUAAAUUGUUGACAUUUCUAAACGAAAGCCGGAGACUCCAUCAUUAAAUGUAUUCAUUUUUGCGGUUAUUCAGCUUCUUUUUCUCCUCUGGAAAAACACGACCGCAUGGCAUUGUGGUAUACGGGAGUAACAUGUAGGGAGCAUCGAAUGUACACUCAAAUUUUGGGUGUUUUAAGUGCACUAUAUAGUGCAUGAAAUUAAUCACUGAGAAUUUGAACACAACUACAAAAUGGCGAGCACCCUAUAGUGCACUAUAUCCGUGAUACGGAACGAUUUCGAACACAGCUUCUGUCUUACGCUUGUACUCGUCAGGCAAAAGGAGGAAAUGGAAGUGUUAUGUAAAGGUGUUUUGUCAUGCAGCGACGGAUCACGGGGUGAGAGGCAGAGGUCUGUUGGGCCAAAGUGUGAGCUUACAUGUAAGCCUGGCAUUUCUCAAAUAAUAUAUUGCUUAUCUUGAAAAAACUAGCUUCUACCUAUUUAGCUGUAAUAAUCUCCAACCCUAGAUCAGAAAAUGUUUUACAAAUGUACACACAAGUAAUUCAAGUGUUGUUUUUCUCUUACCCACAUUUCCCGUACGGGCAGUCAUGCUUUCUUUUCUAGGAUAUGAACAUAGCUAAUGGUACGUAUUAAGGCAGAGGACAUGGUUAAGUUUAGCUUUAAGAUUAGAGGCUAAUUCUCAUUGCUAGACAUCCCCUGGCGGGAACAGUCUGGGGAAAGCCAUAGAUGUAUAAAUAGACACUGAGACAAAGAUGGUUGCUUGCACAUUUCUAUGGCUUUGCUCUGUGAUGCAACACAACGAGCGAGAGAGAGAGGGAGGAAUUAAGAUGGUUACGAUUAUGUAUGCAGUUCUAUGUUUUGUAUGAGGAUCCCUAUAAUUCCUGGUCAUAUUCAGUCAACUAUAGUAGCGGCUUAAGACAUUUCUUGGUAAGAACUGAGCCACUGCAUUAAUUGCAUAAUUUUCUUAGUGUCUAUUGAUUGUCUGAUUGUCAUUUUCCAUUACACUUCCAAAAGGGUAAUGAGUCAUUAGAUUGCAAAAGGAUCAGCAAAAUUUAAAAGGGAAAUUGAUGCCAUUUUAUUCCCAAAAGCAACAUUACAGUACUAAUUUAUCAUCAGCGUUUGGCUGGAUAGAGAAAACCGGUUUGAAGCCUAACAGUGGCUGUAUUGUCUUGAAUUGUUAUUGAAGCAAAUGUUGUGCCUAUUGCUUAUUUCAGUGUUGUCCAGAGACACAGCAAGCCAGAUAGGGCUGGUCAGGUUUCGUCCCCACCCACAUGCUCAUCCACUUCUAGGUUACUGGUCGCCUCACACACACACUGGCUGGUUUGUUUGCUGUGGAACAAAUGAUUGAUUUUUGUGUCCUGCUGGCCCUUCUGUCGACCUCUCUUUCUCUCUCUGGCUCUCUUUCCCCCCCCUUGCCCCCAACCCUCCCGGAACCCAGCCCUUUGUCCCCAAUUGUGUGGCUUUCAUCCCGGGCCUGGUCCUGGUCCAUUCAAGCAGCUGGACAUUGUUGUGUUAAUGCAAGGCUGCGGCUCUCCCAGUCGUCAGAAGGGCGCUCGCCGUGUCUGCUGCUGGACACGGAGAGCGCUGCUCUGCAUCCAUGCAAACCACUUCCGGCUAGACCUGCUGCAUCAAACUGUGUUCAGGUCUCCUUUCUGCUUCUUCUAUGUAAUUUAAAAUGGCCUGCAACUCAGUCUGGUCUGGUUUGGAUUCGAGCUGUGUAUUUCCUUGUCGGCCUCGCUAGAGAAACAUCUGCUGCAGACGGUGGAAUUCUGUUUUCAGGUGGGUUGGACUAGAGGGAGAGAGAUGCAGUAGUCAGGCUGGAUAGACCAGACAGCUGUAAGUCAUGUGAUUAAUUUGAGCAGGCAGCCCAUGCCAGUAAGACAAUUUCUGCUAUGUUACUAUUGGAGUGGGUCAUGCAACCACAUUCUAGUGUAUUGUAACUACACCGACAUCCAUUAAAUAAGCCCACACUAGGCUUCUGCAAUGUCCACUGUGGAACUGUUUGUUUGAGUGGGCCAUGCAACCACAUUAUAGUGUAGGGCUGUGGAUAGGGACAAAACCUAUGGGACUCAUCUAGGGAUGCACCGAAAUGAAAAUUCUCGGCCGAAACCGAAACCGAAUAUACUGAAACAGUUGGCCAAAACCUAAUACAGAAUGUGGCUUUUGCUGUUUUUCAUUUAUUAUGCUUUAAUUUUUCACCAUUGCAGUGAUGGUCGAUAUAUUUAGUUUCUAAGAGGACUUUGCCGUCUUAGAUGGUCUCUUUGACUUGUUUCGCAAAAGUCAUGAUGUAACCGAAACCCCCCUCUCAAAACAUCCAGAUCAAAGGGUCCUACAAUUGUUUUUUCCUAUGCUGAUAUUAAGGCUAUUUUAGCUAUCGGAACACAUGGAUCCUCCUUCUGAACAAAGUUCUUUGCGCUAUUCAAAAUAUUACUUUAAAAACGUGUGUGACUGCAAAAACCCAGAUAUUUUCAUUGUCCUGCUUUGCAGAAUAUGCGCAUGCAUAUUCUGCAAAAGAAGCUUGGAAAUACUGGUGAUGCACCAGUUGAUCUGCCACCGAUCCUUAUCGGUCGAUAUGCGCCCUAAACAUGUGAUCAGUGAUCGAUCAACUUAAAAUUUGCAGAUUGCAGGAGCCGAUCACCUGACUCAAACUAUUAUGCACAAGAUGCGCCGUUAUAAGUUUAAUUCAUUUUUCACAACUUACCAGCUCUCGUUUUAAACAAUAUUCACUGCACCAUUCGUUUCAAUGGGAAUCGCGACGGUCUAUACUUCAACAUAAAGUGUACACAUUUAUAAUUUCAAAUUCGUCCGUGCCUUUAUACCACAGAUACUAUAGGGUCUAUAGCAUAUAGCCGCGUUUUCUGAUUAUAGUUUAAUGUAACAGUAAGCUGACAAAAUCGCUAAUUAACACCGCAACCACACGGAGAUAACCAUGGAAACCGGUCAAACAAAUUGUAUUUUUGCCAUCAUUCUGCGUGCGCAUCCGCCGUGUUGAUAAAAAAAUAAUCCCCCUAUAAUGCCAGAUGGUCGAUGUGAAUGUCUGUGUUGAUAGAAUAAUGUUAGAAAUAAAACCAACUUUGCAUUGCAUUUUGAGGGAUUCGCUGUGUCUCAGCGGCAGCGUUAUAUUCUUGUUAGUAGGCUACGGCAGCGG